CAGGAUGAACGCUAGCUACAGGCUUAACACAUGCAAGUCGAGGGCAGCAUAUCGAAGCUGCUUGAUAGAUGGCGACCGGCGCACGGGUGAGUAACGCGUAUCCAACCUUCCCUAUAGUAGAGAAUAGCCCGGCGAAAGUCGGAUUAAUGCUCUAUGUUGUAUUUAGAGGACAUCUGAAGAAUACCAAAGGUUUACCGCUAUAGGAUGGGGAUGCGUCUGAUUAGGUAGUAGGCGGGGUAACGGCCCACCUAGCCGACGAUCAGUAGGGGUUCUGAGAGGAAGGUCCCCCACAUUGGAACUGAGACACGGUCCAAACUCCUACGGGAGGCAGCAGUGAGGAAUAUUGGUCAAUGGACGAAAGUCUGAACCAGCCAAGUAGCGUGCAGGAUGACGGCCCUAUGGGUUGUAAACUGCUUUUAUAUAGGGAUAAAGUCGGGGACGUGUCCCCGUUUGUAGGUACUAUAUGAAUAAGGACCGGCUAAUUCCGUGCCAGCAGCUGC
rnacentral:rRNA from 1 species